UGCUGCUGAGAGCCAACAAGCAAUUCCACUGGGUUGUACAAAUGUCAUCACUUGAUACCUAUUUCCAUAUUGUUCAUUUUUACUACAAAGCCAUCUUUUAAAAGUAAAAGCCCAAUUCAUAACUCAUAUAUGUAAAAAUUAAAUUAGUAUCUAGUAAUAAAAGUAUUAUAUUUUAUGAGGUUUAUUAAGGA
rnacentral:lncRNA from 1 species